rnacentral:rRNA from 1 species
AUUGAACGCUGGCGGCAUGCCUUACACAUGCAAGUCGAACGGUAACGGGCCUUCGGGUGCCGACGAGUGGCGAACGGGUGAGUAAUGCAUCGGAACGUACCUUUCAGUGGGGGAUAACGUAGCGAAAGUUACGCUAAUACCGCAUAUUCUGUGAGCAGGAAAGCAGGGGAUCGCAAGACCUUGCGCUGAUUGAGCGGCCGAUGUCAGAUUAGCUAGUUGGUGAGGUAAAGGCUCACCUAGGCGACGAUCUGUAGCGGGUCUGAGAGGAUGAUCCGCCACACUGGAACUGAGACACGGUCCAGACUCCUACGGGAGGCAGCAGUGGGGAAUUUUGGACAAUGGGGGCAACCCUGAUCCAGCCAUGCCGCGUGAGUGAAGAAGGCCUCGGGUUGUAAAGCGUCUUUCGGUCCCGGGAAGGAAAUCGCAUGGGUUAAUA